AUUGAACGCUGGCGGCAGGCCUAACACAUGCAAGUCGAGCGGAUGACGGGAGCUUGCUCCUUGAUUCAGCGGCGGACGGGUGAGUAAUGCCUAGGAAUCUGCCUGGUAGUGGGGGAUAACGUUUCGAAAGGAACGCUAAUACCGCAUACGUCCUACGGGAGAAAGCAGGGGACCUUCGGGCCUUGCGCUAUCAGAUGAGCCUAGGUCGGAUUAGCUAGUUGGUGGGGUAAUGGCUCACCAAGGCGACGAUCCGUAACUGGUCUGAGAGGAUGAUCAGUCACACUGGAACUGAGACACUGUCCAGACUCCUACGGGAGGCAGCAGUGGGGAAUAUUGGACAAUGGGCGAAAGCCUGAUCCAGCCAUGCCGCGUGUGUGAAGAAGGUCUUCGGAUUGUAAAGCACUUUAAGUUGGGAGGAAGGGCAGUAAGUUAAUACCUUGCUGUUUUGACGUUACCGACAGAAUAAGCACCGGCUAACUCUGUGCCAGCCGCCGCCGUAAUAC
rnacentral:rRNA from 1 species